UCUACAAGAUUUUGCGUUUCAUUGUCAUUCUAAGAUCAACUUUAAUAAUCAAUUACAACAAAAUGAUUAUGCUGUCAUGAAUGAUUAAUUGCAAUCCUGUGAAAAUAUUACCAAUAUUAUAGAAUGCAUGCUCAAUUAAGAUUCAUCUCAGCAUGACACAGUAAACACGCCUACUUAAUUCAUUGUAGAACAAUUAUCAUUUGACUGGUCACAAAAUGUUUCCUUAAAGAAUAAGUGUAACAUCUACUUUCCUUAUUGUCGCUAGAGGAAAGGAAAUAUUUAUCCAAAGUCAUCAGAGUGUUUUGGACAGGGAUCACAGGAUUUUAUUUUUGUACUCAUCAGACGGGUUCUGACAGGGACCACUGUACCUUAUUUCUCUCAGGAGGACACAGGAUUUUAGUUUUGUAUUCAUCAGACGGGUUCUGACAGGGAUCACUGUACCUUAUUUCUCUCAGGAGGGCACAGGAUUUUAGUUUUGUACUCAUCAGACGGGUUCUGACAGGGAUCACUGUACCUUAUUUCUCUCAGGAGGAGUACCUUCUCGGGGGUAUCCAACAUCGCCAAUAGAACUUCUAGCAACCUGUCCAAGUCGUGACGUUCAUGAUUCCACGCAAUAUAAUCAACAUAAUUCAUUCCUUCGACAUGAGAAGGCAAGACACAGCGUUAAUCUUACAUAACUAAACCAGCUGUCGGAAGCCAAAGGGUAACAAACAGCUUUUGAUUCUAGAUGAGACAAACAAAUUAAAGUGCGGGUUUGCUGUACAUUUAUCAAUAGGUACACUGCGGAUGGGGAUCCAGCUUCAUGUAUGCUUGUCAAAUUAAGAUAAAAGUGCGUUAAUGCACUUGUAACAAUUCUCUCACAUUCAACGAGAUCGUUUAUAUUUUGUAAAACCUUUGAAGAUUACAAAAGUGUUCAU